AAUUUGCACUCCUCUUCUCCAUGCUGGCACUUGAACUCCCACCUGCCACUGACAUUUUGUUCCUGCAAGGCAGCAGGGUGAGAGCCUGCUGGUAGGCUGGGUCCCCUGCUCCCCUGCCCACGUGCCUCAGUUUCCCCAGCGCCCACACACCUGUGCGUUUCCGUAGGGCACCAGCGUGACAUUGAGGAUCUCCAUGACCAACAGCCAUGUUGGGAAGAGCUCCCGGAUCAGGAAGGCUCGGCAGCCACCGCACAGUGCUUCAUAGUAGAGGGUCACAUUGACAAGCGGUGCAUUGGACUUCUUCAGGGGCCCCCGCAGGUAUAGAUUGCCUGUCUGUGGAUUAGGAAGGCGUGGGAGGCAGGUGUAGCCCUGGGCAGUUCCCCACUUCUCUCAACCCCACUUGGUAGUCUUGUAGAAAGGGGGCUGUGAUACGCAAUUCAUCUUGCACGCCUUCCAGAACUUGCCAGGUGGAAUCUUGACUUUGAGACUUUUUUUUUUUUUUUUGAGAUGGAGUCUCACUGUCGCUAGGCUGGUGUGCUGCGGCACGAUCUCGGCUCACUGCAACACCCGACUCCCUGGUUCAAGCAAUUGUCCUGCCUCAGCCUCCUGAGUAGCUGGGAUUAUAGGCACAUGCCACCACACCCAGCUAAUUUUUGUAUUUUUAGUAGAGACAGGGUUUCUCCAUGUAGGCCAGAAUGGUCUCGAACUCCUGACCUCGUGAUCUGCCUGCCUCAGACUUCCAAAGUGUUGGGAUUACAGGCAUGAGCCACCGCCUCCGGCCUUGGCCCAUGCUCAUUUCUUGUCACUUCACCUGGAGACCUUGCCUCUGAGCUGAGCAAGGGAUCCACGUGAACCCUUUCCAAGUCCGACUGAAUAGAGGCGGCACCUAAUAGGUGCUGACUUCCGGCUUCAGCUGAGGGGUGGCGGGUGGCCCAUGUCGCUGGAGCGGUGAGCAAGUCGCUCAGCCUCUAGGGCAUCUGCCUAAUAGGUCCCAAAGACACGCGAGCCCUGCCCUGGCUGGAAUGAAUGCAUCAAGGGUAGCAGCAAGAAUGCAUGCCGGCGGCCCUUGGCCAGCUGCUGAACUUGUGCCCUGGGCCACAAAAGGAGACCCCAGCUCCUGCCCCAAAAGUACACAGUAGGCGCUCAUUGAACCCUUGGGCGGGACUAGGCGGGUGGAGGCAGCUGCGCCUCUCAGAUGCGGGAUGCGAAAGCGAAACGGCACGGAGGGAGUGUGGCCGCAGCGCCGGGAACUGAACAGGGUUUUUCCAGGAACCCGGCAGGGACAGCGUCCCCUCGGGGCCCUGGUCUUCCCCUGUGAAGUCUGGGGAGAAAGAAGGAGCCGCGUGCCCCGACAGGGCGCCUGUUCCCUCCAGCCUGCCCGCCCUGUCGCCGUCCCUACCUUGUAGUUAACUGGUGGCCCAUUCCCAAAGAAGUCUAACGCUUGCAGAGGGGACGCCUGCACCGCCGCCGUGGGGACGUCCAGCAGCAGCAGCAGCGGUGGCAGGAACAGCAGAAGUGGCGACAGGGUCAUCGCAGCAGGGGCAAAGGUGUGGCGACUGCAGCGGCUGCCUGGGAAAUAAGCGCCUUUAACCAGGCGGCGGUCCCG
rnacentral:lncRNA from 1 species